UAACAUUCCAAGUUGUGAAAAUGAAUAUGGAAGUGUAAGUAACACUUGAGCAACCUGGUUAGAAGAACAACUAAACCAUGCAUCAUAAACAGAUCCACCAUGCCAAAAAAAAUUGGAUAAUUUGUUUCUCACAGAAUUAUUUGAAUUUGUUUCUUCUCCUUCUCUUUCCAUUUCCAAAUAAUUACCAGCAAUAACUGUCUCAACUUUCUCAGAAGCCAUAAUCACUAAUUAAUUAAUUAACUCUAAAAUGAGAGUUUUUG
rnacentral:misc_RNA from 1 species